CGAUCCCGCCCCGCGCUGGCGUUGCCCCAGGGGCCAGGCAGCGGGGCCGCCGGGAAGAGCCGCUCCCAGCUCCGCCGCAGGUGUGCGCCGGGCCCCGAGGAGCAGGCCAUACCAGAUUCUCAGGAGAGAAGCUCCCCAGUGCUCCCGGACAAUGGCAGG